rnacentral:lncRNA from 1 species
CAUCCCUGCGCUGCUGUGUUCUCUUCAGCCUGCUCUUUCUGAUCAGCUCUCCUGUGGACUCCCUUUAAAUACCUUUCACAGAGAAACUUUCAUCCAGCAAAUGGGGCUCUCCUGAUUUCUCAGGAUUACUCGGGCUGCUGAGGGGCCUGGAGGAACAAAGGGAAAGUCUGCCUUUGGCACAAAAAGGAGACCUGAGCCUCCCCAGCUAGCAAAAGGACAACAAGAGGUCUUUCCUUCAUGCAGAAGUAAAUCCAUUCAGGUCAGGCUCACUCUCAUAUCCUUCCUUGAGUU